UACGUAGGGGGCAAGCGUUAUCCGGAAUCAUUGGGCGUAAAGAGCGCGUAGGCGGUCCGGUAAGUCCGCUCUGAAAGUCCGGGGCUCAACCCCGGGAGGCGGGCGGAUACUGUCGGGCUAGAGUCCGGAAGAGGCGAGUGGAAUUCCUGGUGUAGCGGUGAAAUGCGCAGAUAUCAGGAGGAACACCAAUGGCGAAGGCAGCUCGCUGGGACGGUACUGACGCUGAGGCGCGAAAGCGUGGGGAGCAAACAGG
rnacentral:rRNA from 1 species